GUCAAGUUAGUUUAAUUAAAACAUCAGCCUGUGGAUUUGAAAAUAAAAUCUAUUUUACUUGACC
rnacentral:tRNA from 1 species